rnacentral:rRNA from 1 species
GGGUUGUGAGGUUAAGCGACUAAGCGUACACGGUGGAUGCCCUGGCAGUCAGAGGCGAUGAAGGACGUGCUAAUCUGCGAAAAGCGUCGGUAAGGUGAUAUGAACCGUUAUAACCGGCGAUGUCCGAAUGGGGAAACCCAGUGCAAUUCGUUGCACUAUCGUUAACUGAAUACAUAGGUUAACGAGGCGAACCGGGGGAACUGAAACAUCUAAGUACCCCGAGGAAAAGAAAUCAACCGAGAUUCCCCCAGUAGCGGCGAGCGAACGGGGAGCAGCCCAGAGUCUGAAUCAGCUUGUGUGUUAGUGGAACGGUCUGGAAAGUCCGACGGUACAGGGUGAUAGUCCCGUACACCAAAAUGCACAGGUUGUGAACUCGAAGAGUAGGGCGGGACACGUGGUAUCCUGUCUGAAUAUGGGGGGACCAUCCUCCAAGGCUAAAUACUCCUGACUGACCGAUAGUGAACCAGUACCGUGAGGGAAAGGCGAAAAGAACCCCGGCGAGGGGAGUGAAAAAGAACCUGAAACCGUGUACGUACAAGCAGUGGGAGCACCUUCGGGUGUGACUGCGUACCUUUUGUAUAAUGGGUCAGCGACUUAUAUUCUGUAGCAAGGUUAACCGUAUAGGGGAGCCGCAGGGAAACCGAGUCUUAACUGGGCGUUAAGUUGCAGGGUAUAGACCCGAAACCCGGUGAUCUAGCCAUGGGCAGGUUGAAGGUUGGGUAACACUAACUGGAGGACCGAACCGACUAAUGUUGAAAAAUUAGCGGAUGACUUGUGGCUGGGGGUGAAAGGCCAAUCAAACCGGGAGAUAGCUGGUUCUCCCCGAAAGCUAUUUAGGUAGCGCCUCGUGAACUCAUCUUCGGGGGUAGAGCACUGUUUCGGCUAGGGGGUCAUCCCGACUUACCAACCCGAUGCAAACUACGAAUACCGAAGAAUGUUAUCACGGGAGACACACGGCGGGUGCUAACGUCCGUCGUGAAGAGGGAAACAACCCAGACCGCCAGCUAAGGUCCCAAAGUCAUGGUUAAGUGGGAAACGAUGUGGGAAGGCACAGACAGCCAGGAUGUUGGCUUAGAAGCAGCCAUCAUUUAAAGAAAGCGUAAUAGCUCACUGGUCGAGUCGGCCUGCGCGGAAGAUGUAACGGGGCUAAACCAUGCACCGAAGCUGCGGCAGCGACACUAUGUGUUGUUGGGUAGGGGAGCGUUCUGUAAGCCUGCGAAGGUGUGCUGUGAGGCAUGCUGGAGGUAUCAGAAGUGCGAAUGCUGACAUAAGUAACGAUAAAGCGGGUGAAAAGCCCGCUCGCCGGAAGACCAAGGGUUCCUGUCCAACGUUAAUCGGGGCAGGGUGAGUCGACCCCUAAGGCGAGGCCGAAAGGCGUAGUCGAUGGGAAACAGGUUAAUAUUCCUGUACUUGGUGUUACUGCGAAGGGGGGACGGAGAAGGCUAUGUUAGCCGGGCGACGGUUGUCCCGGUUUAAGCAUGUAGGCUGGUUAUCCAGGCAAAUCCGGAUAAUCAAGGCUGAGGUGUGAUGACGAGGCACUACGGUGCUGAAGUAACAAAUGCCCUGCUUCCAGGAAAAGCCUCUAAGCAUCAGGUAACAUUAAAUCGUACCCCAAACCGACACAGGUGGUCAGGUAGAGAAUACCAAGGCGCUUGAGAGAACUCGGGUGAAGGAACUAGGCAAAAUGGUGCCGUAACUUCGGGAGAAGGCACGCUGGUGUGUAGGUGAAGUCCCUGCGGAUGGAGCUGAGACCAGUCGAAGAUACCAGCUGGCUGCAACUGUUUAUUAAAAACACAGCACUGUGCAAACACGAAAGUGGACGUAUACGGUGUGACGCCUGCCCGGUGCCGGAAGGUUAAUUGAUGGGGUUAUCCGUAAGGAGAAGCUCUUGAUCGAAGCCCCGGUAAACGGCGGCCGUAACUAUAACGGUCCUAAGGUAGCGAAAUUCCUUGUCGGGUAAGUUCCGACCUGCACGAAUGGCGUAAUGAUGGCCAGGCUGUCUCCACCCGAGACUCAGUGAAAUUGAACUCGCUGUGAAGAUGCAGUGUACCCGCGGCAAGACGGAAAGACCCCGUGAACCUUUACUAUAGCUUGACACUGAACAUUGAGCCUUGAUGUGUAGGAUAGGUGGGAGGCUUUGAAGCGUGGACGCCAGUCUGCGUGGAGCCAACCUUGAAAUACCACCCUUUAAUGUUUGAUGUUCUAACGUUGGCCCCUGACCGGGGUUGCGGACAGUGUCUGGUGGGUAGUUUGACUGGGGCGGUCUCCUCCCAAAGCGUAACGGAGGAGCACGAAGGUUAGCUAAUCCUGGUCGGACAUCAGGAGGUUAGUGCAAUGGCAUAAGCUAGCUUGACUGCGAGCGUGACGGCGCGAGCAGGUGCGAAAGCAGGUCAUAGUGAUCCGGUGGUUCUGAAUGGAAGGGCCAUCGCUCAACGGAUAAAAGGUACUCCGGGGAUAACAGGCUGAUACCGCCCAAGAGUUCAUAUCGACGGCGGUGUUUGGCACCUCGAUGUCGGCUCAUCACAUCCUGGGGCUGAAGUAGGUCCCAAGGGUAUGGCUGUUCGCCAUUUAAAGUGGUACGCGAGCUGGGUUUAGAACGUCGUGAGACAGUUCGGUCCCUAUCUGCCGUGGGCGCUGGAGAAUUGAGGGGGGCUGCUCCUAGUACGAGAGGACCGGAGUGGACGCAUCACUGGUGUUCGGGUUGUCAUGCCAAUGGCACUGCCCGGUAGCUAAAUGCGGAAGAGAUAAGUGCUGAAAGCAUCUAAGCACGAAACUUGCCCCGAGAUGAGUUCUCCCUGAGACUUUAAGUCUCCUGAAGGAACGUUGAAGACGACGACGUUGAUAGGCCGGGUGUGUAAGCGCAGCGAUGCGUUGAGCUAACCGGUACUAAUGAACCGUGAGGCUUAACCUUACAACGCCGAAG